rnacentral:rRNA from 1 species
AGUGAACGCUGGCGGUAGGCCUAACACAUGCAAGUCGAACGGCAGCACAGUAAGAGCUUGCUCUUACGGGUGGCGAGUGGCGGACGGGUGAGGAAUACAUCGGAAUCUACUUUUUCGUGGGGGAUAACGUAGGGAAACUUACGCUAAUACCGCAUACGACCUACGGGUGAAAUCAGGGGAUCUUCGGACCUUGCGCGAUUGAAUGAGCCGAUGUCGGAUUAGCUAGUUGGCGGGGUAAAGGCCCACCAAGGCGACGAUCCGUAGCUGGUCUGAGAGGAUGAUCAGCCACACUGGAACUGAGACACGGUCCAGACUCCUACGGGAGGCAGCAGUGGGGAAUAUUGGACAAUGGGCGCAAGCCUGAUCCAGCCAUACCGCGUGAGUGAAGAAGGCCUUCGGGUUGUAAAGCCCUUUUGUUGGGAAAGAAAAGCAGCAGGUUAAUACCCCGCUGUUCUGACGGUACCCAAAGAGUAAGCAACGGCUAACUUCGUG